rnacentral:lncRNA from 1 species
AAGUUGUCAAUUCAUAUGGAACCACUUAUUUUUGAAUCUUAGUUCUCAGUCCCAUCUCAAACUUGUGAAUACGUUCUUGCUCACCAUCCACUAAUCUCGGAGCAAAUUUUGCUAACUCUGUAAAUUUUGCUUCAUAUUCAGUCACACUCAUACCCUUUUGCUUCAAAUAAAUAAACUCUUGCUCUUUCUGGAUCCUUAUACUCUGAGGAAAAUAUUGAUCGUAGAAUGCAACCCGAAAUCUUUCUUAGGUAAGUAUUUCGCCAUCUUGUUCAUGCUUGCGCUGUAGUCGCUGACACCAGUUGUAUGCUUCUCCUUGUAGUAAAUAAGCUGCAUAUCAAAUCUUUUCUUCAUCAAGACACUCUUGGACAGUGAAGGCCUUCUCCAUCUCCAUUAUCCAGUUAUCAGCCUUCAAAGGUUCAGUAGUCCCCUUGAAAGCUGGAGGAGCAAGCUUUUUAAAUUUUGAAAUGUUAUUCCAUUGUACUGGUUGCUCUCCAUGUUGUGGUGGUGGAUGCUGAUGUUGUUGUGUAUCUCGUCGUAUCUGCUGUUGUUCAAGCAUUUGCUACUGUAUUUAUUGUUGUGCUUGUACCAUUCUGAUUAGGAUCUGCAUUAACUGAGCCAUAUCUGGUUCUUGAUGUACUCUCGAAGUACUCCCAUUAGGAUCUACGACUCCCUCCUCCUGAGGGGUGCCACUGAUCAGAUGGGGAGUGCUACCAUCCCGUGGUUGUGAUGUCUCUCUUGCAAUUCCUUGAGUAGUUCUUGUCAUUCUACGGGGAGGCAUGGUAACCUUGUAGUAGUAAAACCUUAUUAGAUUAAUUUAUCUAUUUGUUAGGAUAGAUUUAUUAUGAUGCUCAUACUUUAACAUCCCAAUAUUUCUAAUGUUUACCCACCUACACUCAUACUAUGUCAAAUUCUAUGUGUCAUAAUUUAUCCACUUAUGCUCUGAUACCAUAUUAAUUGUCACGCCCCCGACCCGAGAUUAUGAAUCGAGGGUCAUGGCAACCACCGCAUACUUAUGAAGAACUCUUUUCAUAAGCAUGCAAGGCAUCUCAUCACGAUAUCA